UGGGGAUAGUCGGCUUCGAACGACGACAACAAAGUCGGGCCUUGAAACAACAUUUAUAGUUUCUGGUUCAGUUGUGCUUUGGACUUCGACGAGUGAACUUAGAAAAUUUCGCAGGCUGCCAUCCAAACGAAGAAUUUACACUUUUAUUUCGCUCUUUCGAGGACUUUGAUAAUCUACCUCCACGAGUAAACUUAGAAAUUUCUGCACUUUCGGGAGACUUUGACAUCUAUUUCCACGAGUGGACUUAGAAAUUUUUGCAGAAUGCCAUUCGAGAUAAUAUUAACGAAAACUUAAAAACACGCAGUUGCACCCAUUUCAAUGAUGUAAUCGGGUGUUAGCAUCGCUAAAAUAAAUUUAUCGCGAAGUAGAAGCAGUGUUUGUUCGUUCGCGUUUCGCGAUUUAAAACACAAGUGCUUUUGCAUAGACUGCGCGCAAUGCAGUCGUUAGAGUCAGUGUUUGUUCGUAAAGUUAUUUGCUUUCUUAACAGUCGCACCGACUGUAUUUAUAAUAUAUAGUAGAGUUUCGCGAAAUAAAUUCAGUGACCGUUCGUUAAUAAAUAACUACCGCGAAUUAGAGUCAGUGCAUCACUGAAGAGGAUCUCAACCAACUUCGAUGUCGACCUACCUCAUUUUCAACCAACUACAAAUCAUCCACCCUCAAUUUCGACCUAAGUCGCGGUCCAGUGUUUUGGAGCCGUCGCAGAACUUCUAAAGUAGUAAGUUAAUUUUUAUGUCCCUCCGAUCACUCAAUCAUGUCGAGGACGAAAGGUCCGAAUCGGCACGAGUGAUUGGUUGUAAUUACUUAGUAGAAGAGCAAUGAGUGACCACGAGUAAGUUUCUUCGGAGAUUUACUCGUGAAUGGUUCGUUAUUUUUUGAUUUAUUUAUUAGAUCAGGAUAGAGUCUUCUUGCUUAAACGCGUUAAUUAUAAUUAUUUGAAAUUUUGAAUAUUUAAAUGCAUUUUUAAAUAAUUUUCUCUCGCGAAAAUAGUAAAAUAUCGCGAUAUUCGCAAAUUUUAGUAAUGAAUAAGCAAGAAGACAUUCGCGAUGGAUAGUCUCUGGAUUACAAGCGAUAUUAUAUUAUUUAUUUUCUAUUAAUUCGAAUAAUUGCUUGUAAGAAGGAACGUCCAAUUUUUUUUCAUUACAUUUUUAAUGAAAGAUUAGUCAUUUUUAUUAAUAAAAGAGAAGUUUCAAUAGAGUCAUUGCUUUUAUAAGAAUAAAGUAGAGUCGUUGCUUCUAAAAGAAUAAAGUAGAGUAGAAUCAUUGAUAAAAGACAAAGAGACUUGUAAAAUCAUAACGCGUAGAACAUAAAAUAACUUAAUCAAUUUUUAGCUUAGGAUUUUCAGCAAUUAAUAUAUUAAUCCUCGUUUCUCUUCUGAUGCUUUCUCGAUUUUUCGUUUCAGGGGUGGUUUAGAGUUGCGUUAGAUGUAUUAGUUUACUUUCACGUCUUAGAAUAAGGGUCGGUUUUAGUUUUUGACGUAGGUAGUGACGAUAGUUAUUAAAUGUGUUCUAUAGUUGUGGUUAGGGCACGAAGCAGAGAAGAGACUAUAUGUCGAAGAGGCCCCCACAAAUUGUGGCUCAAGAGGGCAACUAUUAGACUAUUGAGUUAUUCUCGAAAGUUGGACAAAAUACUUCGGGAAUGGCUCUUAAUAAUAUUUUCAUUAUACCAUGUUGUCACUCAAAAUGCUCUUAUAUAAUGAUAAUAUAAUUUUCAGAAACUGAGAAGGCGUAACAUUCCGUCUCCCAUCUCACAUUGCCACGCGUUCGCGAAUAGAAUUUUUACGUAUUUUAUACUUUUGUUAUUAAUGUCCAGCAAUAAAUUUUUCGCAUUUUUCUUUUCUAAAGUUGAAUUAAAUUCGUAAUUUUAGUUUUAUAAAGUUAAGUUUUGUAUAAAGUAAUAAUUUCGAAACGUAUAAAAUAUGGCAAUUGUGAGGACCACUGAAAGCGCACAUGGGGAUAAGAUAAGAACAUUUAAAUACAUAGCAUAUUCUCCAUUCAAUUUUACAGGAAGGAUAUCUGACAGAAUUCCAGUAUCACCCAGCGAAUAGCUGCACACUUUAGAUUAAACAAUUAUUUCAAAUAGUUGAUUAAAUUGUUGAUUAACUCCUCUAUCUUCUCUCGGGUGGGACCCUUGGGAGGGGCCCUCGGGUGUGGGCCUUAGGCGGGUUUCGUUCUUUCACUAAGGAAAAAUUAAACUAAUUUAUGAUACUCUGAUUUUCACUUGGUGAAAUGAUCUUUAGAUCCAUUCUUCUGAGUUCUAUCUUUCUCACGUUCCGUGUUUCUUAUCUUUUAUUCUUUUCCUUUUUCUUUUUCUAUUUCUCCUUCUCUUUCUCUUUCUCUUUCUCUUUCUCUUUCUCUUUCUCUUUCUCUUUCUCUUUCUCUUAAUCUUUUACGUUUUAUCUGUUUCAGAUUAGAUCGUCGAGGGAUCGAUCAUCGUGAAAUUAAAUUUUUACAGGGAAUUAUUAAUUGUAUAUUU